AUUGAACGCUGGCGGCAUGCUUUACACAUGCAAGUCGAACGGCAGCGAGAGAGAAGCUUGCUUCUCUCGUCGGCGAGUGGCGAACGGGUGAGUAAUACAUCGGAACGUACCCUGUAGUGGGGGAUAACUACUCGAAAGAGUAGCUAACACCGCAUACAACCGGAGGGCAAAAGUGGGGGACAGUCAGGCCUCCCGCUAUAGGAGCGGCCGAUGGAAGAUUAGCUAGUUGGUAGGGUAAAGGCGUACCAAGGCGACGCUCUGUAGCGGGUCUGAGAGGAUGAUCCGCCACACUGGAACUGAGACACGGUCCAGACUCCUACGGGAGGCAGCAGUGGGAAAUUUUGGACAAUGGGGGCAACCCUGAUCCAGCCAUGCCGCGUGAGUGAAGAAGGCCUUCGGGUUGUAAAGCUCUUUCGGCCGGGAAGAAAUCGUAUGGGCUAAUACCCUGUGCGGAUGACGGUACCGGCAUAAGAAGCACCGGCUAACUACGUGCCAGCCGCCGCAGUAACAC
rnacentral:rRNA from 1 species